GACGAACGCUGGCGGCGUGCUUAACACAUGCAAGUCGAACGGAAAGGCCCUGCUUUUGUGGGGUGCUCGAGUGGCGAACGGGUGAGUAACACGUGAGUAACCUGCCCUUGACUUUGGGAUAACUUCAGGAAACUGGGGCUAAUACCGGAUAGGAGCUCCUGCUGCAUGGUGGGGGUUGGAAAGUUUCGGCGGUUGGGGAUGGACUCGCGGCUUAUCAGCUUGUUGGUGGGGUAGUGGCUUACCAAGGCUUUGACGGGUAGCCGGCCUGAGAGGGUGACCGGCCACCUGGGGACUGAGAUACGGCCCAGACUCCUACGGGAGGCAGCAGUGGAGAAUAUUGCACAAUGGGCGGAAGCCUGAUGCGGCCACGCCGCGUGCGGGAUGACGGCCUUCGGGUUGUGAACCGCUGUCGCCUGUGACGAAGCGUGAGUGACGGUAAUGGGUAAAGAAGCACCGGCUAACUACGUG
rnacentral:rRNA from 1 species